rnacentral:rRNA from 1 species
GAUGAACGCUGGCGGCGUGCCUAAUACAUGCAAGUCGAGCGAACAGACCAGGAGCUUGCUCCUUCGACGUUAGCGGCGGACGGGUGAGUAACACGUAGGUAACCUACCUAUAAGACUGGGAUAACUUCGGGAAACCGGAGCUAAUACCGGAUAAUAUUUCGAACCGCAUGGUUCGAUAGUGAAAGAUGGCUUUGCUAUCACUUAUAGCUGUACCUGCGCCGUAUUAGCUAGUUGGUAAGGUAACGGCUUACCAAGGCAACGAUACGUAGCCGACCUGAGAGGGUGAUCGAGCACACUGGAACUGAGACACGGUACAGACUCCUACGGGAGGAAGCAGUAGGGAAUCGUCCGAAAAGGGAGAAAGCCUGACGGAGCAAAACCGCGUGAGUGAGGAAGGUCUUCGGAGCGUAAAACUCUGUUAUUAGGGAAGAACAAACGUGUAAGUAACUGUGAACGUCUUGACGGUACAUAAUCAGAAAGCCACGGCUAACUACGUG